UGUAGAAAGUUGCUCCCAAGCCAUCUAGCUAUGCAACUGUUCUAUAAAACAAGAGUGUGUGUCUCCAUUGUUUGAUUUAUGGCUUUGGCCUUGUGUCUCCUCUCUAGUUUUUAAAUGAAAACACAGUUUUCUGCCUUUGUACCUUCUCCCUGUGCAAGACCUACUCAUUGAGAAUGCUUACUUUAGCUGAGNNNNNNNNNNNNNNNNNNNNNNNNNNNNNNNNNNNNNNNNNNNNNNNNNNNNNNNNNNNNNNNNNNNNNNNNNNNNNNNNNNNNNNNNNNNNNNNNNNNUUAGCUGAGUCUGGACACCUCCAGAAAUUUGACUCCUCCAGAUGGUUGUGAGGGGGUGGUGGUGGCCUGGAGGGGAGUUUUAUUUUCAAAGCAGUGGGGGUGGCCGUUUCCUUCCUGGUAUUUGUUCUCCUAUUGUUCUUCUAGCACUUUAUAAUUGGUAUCAUUUUUCAGCACACCAAACUCUGAAAUCCUAAAGCCUUUAUAGAAAGCCANNNNNNNNNNNNNNNNNNNNNNNNNNNACAAGGACCCGUGAAUUAUCAUCUUCUCCCCGCCCUGAGCAUCUAGGGGGAGGUGUGAUGUAACACCUGUUACUUUGCUUUGUUCUCAGUGAGAUCCAGGAACCUGCUGAUCUAUGAGGAACAUUCUCCCUUGGAGGAGCCGCCCAGUUCUGCCUCAGCUGGGGAGCUGGGACGCUGGGACCGAGGCUCUGCUCUGCUUAGGGCAAAAGGGCUGGAGUCCAGGCCAGACGUGGAUCUUCCUCAUUUCAUUAUCUCAAAUGAGACCAGCCUGGAGAAAUCAGUGCUUUUGGAGCUGCAGCAGCACAUGGUCAGCACCAACCUGGAGGGGAAUGAGACACUAAAAGUUGUAGAACUCGACAGAAGAGUGAACGCCACCUUUUAAAGAGGCUAUCGCCACCUCCCUCUGUCUCUUCACUUUGCCUUUACCUCUCCAAACCACCUUUUGUCAUAAGCUUUUCCUUUGUGCCCACCCAAUCUGGACGAAGACCUGGACCAGCGGUCCUGGCUCUGGAUGGGAGGACUGCCGGCCUGGAAUUUCCGCCUGCGGUGAGAGAGCGCCUCCCCCGGUCCCACGUCCCUCCCUGCAGAGGAGCCCGCCCCCGUCCCUCGCUUACUGCCAUAGGCAAUUAUCUUCGGUCGGGGUGGGACAAGCAGGCUUGUUUCUACCGACAGUGCCAAAAAGAUACGGCCCGAUUCUCACCGGGGUGGGUGUGACCGCCUCCUUGAAGAAGAGCUGACUGUUGUUCACUCGAGACCCCACAAAAAUUUACCAGGAUGCUCGUUGGAAUCUGGCGAAGCACUGACUGACGUCCUGCCUUCCUCAGCCUGGCUCUGCGGUGCCCCGCGGGCGCCCCCUGCCGCUCUGCCCUGGGCCCCGGCCCAGGGUCCCUUCGCCGGAGCAAGGCGCCCCCUUCGUACUCUCAGGCCGCAAGUGCAAUGCCUGAAGGAAUCAGGCUUCUCUACUCCAGGCAAACCUGCCCCGUCAUGUUGCUUGUAGGAUUUCUCCACAGUCUGUGUCCCCACACGCCCCUAGUUCUGCCUCCCUGGCUUCUCCUCCCCAUUUGUAAAUAGUAUUUAUUAGCUUGCAGAGGCUUCCCCGGGCGACCACUGAAGACAUCGGGACGCCUCCCCUCCAGGCUCACAAGGUCCUCUGUUGGCCUGUGGAGCGAAGAGGGCAGCCUGGACUCUGGGAUUCCCCAUUCUUCCAGGCCGUGUUUUGUUUUGUGUUUUCUUCUUCUUUUUUUUUUGGCUGGAGGCUUCUAAUUAUAGUUGGGGAACCUCCCUAAGCAUGUGUCCUCCUGGAGCAUGAACUCAGAGGGGAAGAGGGAGCAGGGCUCAGGUCUGAGGCUCUGUGGACAGGUGCUUUUUCUGCCCUGUGCCCAUGCCAGGGAAGCCCUGACCCAGGCGUUUCAGACAGCCAUGCUAGCUCAGUUUUCCCCACCUGCCCCGACUCGUCUGCCUUCCCUUCCUCUUCUGCCUCCAUACAGAGGCUGGGCCUGAGGCCUGCUCCUGGGGUCAGAGCAGGUGACAUUUCUGUAUCUGUGUCUUACCUUUUCUAGUCAGGUUUGGCCACUUUGCAGCUCACCCAAAGAGACACAACCUAAUCCCCCAACCUACUUCUUUUUUUUUUUUAAUGAUUAAGAGUAACUUUUNNAACUUUUGUAGUUUAAAAAAAAAAAAAGCUUUCAUUUUUCAUACAAAUAAGAAAUAGAAAUAGACUUUUUAUUGUAUAAUGUAGAAGGCUCCCCUUAAAUGUUUUUCCCUAGCUUGUAAAAGAUUUUGUGUAAGAAAUUUGCUCACAUUUUGGUUUUUUAUUUUUAGAAGUAGCUGAAGCACUUUUAGUUUGAACUCUCUUGUCUCUGGUUUUCUCAUCUCUUUUGUCAUUGGAACCUGUACUUAGGAGAGAUUAAGCCACUUCUGGGCCCUCUGUUCCAUAUCAGCCACAGAAUUUGGCGUCAUUAGUAUUUGCCAUGAGACCUCAUAAGCAGCGAACUCACUGGACAUGAGUCUGAGCAAACUCUGGGAGAUAGUGAAGGACAGGGAUGCUUGGCGUGCUGCAGUCCCAUGGAGUUGCAAAGCUUCAGAUAUGACUUAAAGACUGAGCAACAAACUCAUAAGCAGAUCUGGUACCUUCAGGGCUCACCGUCAGUGAUUCUUCUCGCUCCCUACUGUGAUGGAGAAAGUUCCCACAGGGAGAUGGCCAAGUUCCCUUCUUGGCGCUGUGUAGAGCUGGAUCAGGAUCACAGUGGUCACCUCUCACUGCCCCAUCCAUUGGCCAGCAAAGGGUGAGACCAGACAGGCUGGGCUGUGUGGGAGGAGGGUUGCUAGUACCUGCCCUGUUCCCUUCUGUUUCUCUCUCCUUUCCUCUCUCCUUUCCUCUCUCCUUCUCUUCUGCUCUCAACCUUCCUGGGUCUGGCUGGUGUCUGCCAACCAAGAGCCUUUACUGACCCAUCCCUCUCUUUAAUAUGUCAUGUAAUUAUCAGGCACAGGCAGCCCAUGGGGUGGGGUCAAGGGUGGCUAAGAAGGUGAGAAGGUAGUAUUAACUCUAGUAUUUGGAUGAUUAGAAAGUGAAGCUUUUCCUGUGUCGAUGAGAAUGGGUCAGCUUACCCACCUGACACACUGGAACCAGAUCGGGUUUUUAAGGCUCCUGGAUUAGCCCGAGUGGAAAACCUUUUCUUCUGAGUAAAGAAGAAGAAGGCAAAGGACAACCAACUCCUAGGGCCCAUCCUUAGUGCCUUGAGGAUUUUAUUUCCUCACUUGACCUCACUCUUUCCAGUCCUCCAAAUGGCAGGGUUUGAUCUCUGGGCAGCCAUUCUUCCAGAACUGAAUCUGUGUCUAGAGACUGAGGACAUCAGCCUGAGGGCUCAAAUGGCCAUUGUAAGGGGACCCAAGGACCAGUUGCUGCUAUUUUGAGAAAGACCUCCGCUCCCCACUCCUUGCUUAGGCAAAGAAGAGGAACUAAACAGUUACCCCUUUAGGAGAAUGUAAUGGAGUUCAGAGGGUGCAGAAGAGCUGGAUAACACCAGAUCGGGUCUAAAUAGUUAAUGUGCACCUUUUCUCUUCCAGGGUUAAGCUCACAACGUCAGUGGAUUUGUUUUCCCCCUAGAACUAUCCCGUACCAUAGAUGAGUCAGUAAUACUUGGUUAGCCCUGAAGAUGUUAAAUAGUGAGUGGCAGGCUUUCGGCUUUGGAACCUCAGUUUUGGAAAAUUUGAGACUGUUAGCACAACCGUCAAUCAUAAAGAAUCAAUGUUCAUGAUAAAUAUAUUAAUAUAUUUUCCAUCAUGUCAGCAGAUUUUCCUCCUCCCUUUCUUUGAUUAGCCUAGUGGAGGAGAUGUCUUGUAAAAAGUUCAGAAAACACGUACUUUUUUUUACUGGGUGAGACCUGAGUAACCCAGACUCCCCAGCGUGGUUCUAUUCACAGCUCUGGACUUUGCACUUAGAAAUGGCUACUGUAAAUGAAAGGCCUCAGUGCCAAGUUUAAGAAAGGAUUUCUGUGAAGUGUUAGGACUCUGGAGCCUAGCUCACAUAAAGAGAGUGUUACAUAAAAAUCUGACAGCUGAACUAGGUUGCUCCUUUUGGGCAGGAGGUGGGGAUGAGUUUUGACACCAGUACAGGCAAAAUUAGAUAACCUUUUUAUUAGUAUAAAUGAUUUUGAUUUAGAGACCUAAUUUGUAGAGUGUGAAAACAACUUUUAGUGCAACUUAUUUACAAACCAACUAUAAAUACUGUGGGUUUUUUUCCUUCCUCAUGCCUGAAUACCAAGAGAGGGCUGUGAUUUGUCAUGUGUCCUUGGAGCAAGAGUGUUGAACUGGUUCACCUUUGUUCUGGCAGUGAGUCAGUGUCCAGAAUUUUUGACACAAGUGUUUUAUUAAAUUUUUUUUUUUUUGCACUUUG
rnacentral:lncRNA from 1 species